rnacentral:rRNA from 1 species
UACGAAGGGGGCGAGCGUUGUCGGAAUACUGGGCGUAAAGGGUGCGUAGGCGGGUCUUUUAAGUCAGGGGUGAAAUCCUGGAGCUCAACUCCAGAACUGCCUUUGAUACUGAAGAUCUUGAGUUCGGGAGAGGUGAGUGGAACUGCGAGUGUAGAGGUGAAAUUCGUAGAUAUUCGCAAGAACACCAGUGGCGAAGGCGGCUCACUGGCCCGAUACUGACGCUGAGGCACGAAAGCGUGGGGAGCAAACAGG